rnacentral:rRNA from 1 species
ACUACCAGCUAGUUGGUAAGGUAACGGCUUACCAAGGCUAUGACGGUUACCGGCUCUUAGCGGAGAGUCCGGCACAAUGGGACUGAGACACGGCCCAUACACCUACGGGUGGCAGCAGUUAGGAAUUUUGCGCAAUGGACGAAAGUCUGACGCAGCGACACCGCGUGGAGGAUGAAGACCUUAGGGUUGUAAACUCCUUUUUAGCGGCCAUGAAGGCCACUAGAAUAAGUAGCUACUAACUACGUGCCAGCAGUCGCGGUAAUACGUAGGCUACGAGCGUUACCCGGAUUUAUUGGGCGUAAAGGGUCUGUAGACGGUUUUCCAAGUCUGGUUUCAAAGCCCCCGACUCAAUCGGGGAAAGGGGUCAGAUACUGGGAUACUAGAGUCAUAUCGGGGUUACUGGAAUUUUUGGUGUAGGGGUUAAAUCCGUGGAUACCAAAAAGAACACCAAGCGCGAAGGCGGGUAACUAGGUAUGUACUGACGUUCAGAGACGAAAGCUAGGGUAGCAAAUCAGAUUAGAGACCUGAGUAGUCCUAGCUGUAAACAUUGUCCGUUAGUUCUUCUCAAUUUAUUGGGAGGGAUGUUAGCUAACGCGUUAAACGGAUCGCCUGGGGAGUAUAGCCGCAAGGCCGAAACUCAAACGAAUUGGCGGGGAGGCGCACAACCAGUGGAGCAUGUGGUUCAAUUCGAUACAAAGCGAUGAACCUUACCUGGGCUUGAAAUGCACCUGCAGGCUCCUGAAAGGGAGAGUCCUUCGAGGGUGGUGCACAGCUGUUGCAUGGCUGUCGUCAGCUCGUGACGUGAGUUGUUCUCUUAAGUGAGGUAACGAGCGCAACC